rnacentral:rRNA from 1 species
UGGGGAAUAUUGGACAAUGGGCGAAAGCCUGAUCCAGCCAUGCCGCGUGUGUGAAGAAGGUCUUCGGAUUGUAAAGCACUUUAAGCUGGGAGGAAGGGCAGUAAGCGAAUACCUUGCUGUUUUGACGUUACCGACAGAAUAAGCACCGGCUAACCCUGUGCCAGCAGCCGCGGUAAUACAGAGGGUGCAAGCGUUAAUCGGAAUUACUGGGCGUAAAGCGCGCGUAGGUGGUUCGUUAAGUUGAAUGUGAAAGCCCCGGGCUCAACCUGGGAACUGCAUCCAAAACUGGCGAGCUAGAGUAGGGCAGAGGGUGGUGGAAUUUCCUGUGUAGCGGUGAAAUGCGUAGAUAUAGGAAGGAACACCAGUGGCGAAGGCGACCACCUGGGCUCAUACUGACACUGAGGUGCGAAAGCGUGGGGAGCAAACAGG